rnacentral:tRNA from 1 species
GGUGGGUUGGCUCAGUGGUAGAGCGUAGGUUUCUAACCGAAGGGAUGCGGGAUCGAAUCCCGCUAGAGGCUG